UUAGAGAGAAAGUGGGUUCUUCUUCUGGAGGUUAUUCACAUUUUAGGCCUCUCUCAGUGGAUGAAACACAGUUCGAGUCUCUCAAAUCGCAAUCUUUCAUAUCCACAACAUCUUUGUCAUCUCAAGGGAAUCCAGGUCCACAACAUCUCGAUCCUUCACAUUUUAGACCUCUCUCAGUUGAUGAAACUCAAUUCGAGUCUCUCAAGUCGCAAGCUUUCAGAUCCACAACAUCUUUGUCAUCUCAAGGGAAUCCAGGUCCACAACACCUGGGUCCUUCACAUUUUAGACCUCUCUCAGCUGAUGAAGCUCAAUUCGAGUCUCUCAAGUCACAAUCUUUCAGGUCCACAACAUCGUUGUCAUCCCAAGGGAGUUCAGCAUCGUAUUCACCAACGACGCUCUCGCCCUCACGUUCUGUUUCUUCUGAAAUGCCUAACUCU
rnacentral:lncRNA from 1 species